rnacentral:rRNA from 1 species
CAGAGGUCCCAAGCGUUGCUCGGAUUCACUGGGCGUAAAGGGUGCGUAGGCGGUCAGGUAAGUCUGAUGUGAAAUCUCUGGGCUUAACCCAGAAAUGGCAUUGGAUACUAUUUGGCUUGAGAGUUGGAGGGGGGACUGGAAUUCUUGGUGUAGCAGUGAAAUGCGUAGAUAUCAAGAGGAACACCAGUGGCGAAGGCGAGUCCCUGGACAACUUCUGACGCUGAGGCACGAAAGCUAGGGGAGCAAACAGGAUUAGAUACCCUGGUAGUCCUAGCUGUAAACGGUGCUUAUUUGCUGUAAAAGGAAUCGACCCCUUUUGUGGCGUAGCAAACGCGUUAAAUAAGCCGCCUGGGAAGUACGGUCGCAAGAUUA